GAAAGUGCUCCGGCCUCUGGAACCCCCCCCCCCCCCCCUCCCCCCCAGAGCCGAUUUUUACCCAUCAACCCCUGCCCCCGUCCAUGCUUUCUGCUCAGAUCUGCUCUCUCUGGCUGGGCACUCCCUCCCUCCUCUCAACCUUUACAGCUGACCAAUAACAGACGCAGGAUCACCAAUAACAGAAAUACAACAUAAUAAGAAGGAGAAGUGCCCCUCAUCUGGACUUCUCCCACCCUGAAGCACAAGAUUUUUUUUCUUUCUCUGGGUUCUGGGACAUUCUGGAUGCUACCUGUGUUGGACUCUCACUGUGUGUGUACUUGAUAUGAUAUCUCAGUGUCAUUUGAGAAGCUGGAUUCUUCAGGUUCAGGGGAUCUGGGGGUUUAAAUAAGACUGUCAGGAAAAUAAUAUAUAAGCUAGUUUAAUUUACAACACAUCUUAAACCUUCCUCAAGUAUCAAAUCCCUUUCAAACUAAUAAGCUACUCAUAUACAUCCUGUGUACAGUAAACAUAGUAUUAACACUUUGCCUAGUGUAUUGCUACUGACCCACAACCCUCGUAGGCCUGAAAACAACUGAAAUGACAUCAUUGUUUAUUUACAGCAUUUAUCCAGCUAUGCUUGUUAGCAUCCUCUUUCUAGACUGCUUCUCCAGUCGCUCGCAGAUUAAAAAAAAAAAAAAAAAAGCACUUUACUUCUGUAUAGCUAGCAUUUUUUAAUUGAUUUUUAUAAGUCAAUUUCUAAGAUGUUCUUGCUUUUAUAUUUUAUAUUCCUUUUUGUAAUACGUAUACAUAAAUCUGCUCUAUGGAUUUUAUUCUAAGACAAACACAUAUUGAUAUAUAGCUAUACAUAAUAUGAUAUGCAUGGUGUGAAGACCUGAUAUAUGAAAAUUUGCUCUCAAGGCAAUAAUGUGUCGAAUGGAAUAUUGUUCAUAUAUAUAUAGAUAUACAAUAUAUAGAUGCAUAUGGAUAUUAUAUGAAUUAUCAGCAUGUUUGACAGAAGCAAUGAUCAUUGUACAAACGCUGGUUAAUGCUGUUUUAUCACAGGCCAGUAGCCAUUCUUUAUAAAGAAAUGAUUCUUAGAGGAUAAGGCUGGUGACAUUGUACUAUUUUGUUAAAGUCAACAAACAACAAAUUCAUCAAAUAGACCCGAAACUUCUUCUACAAUUUGAUUGUGGCAUUUUGCUUCAAGCCAAAGACUGAAAUCUUUCAAAGAUGGCAAAAAAACUAUUUUUGUUUUUACAAGUAAUGUUAAAUAAUUUCAUUUUAAUCAAAUUUGACUGGAUUGGAUUGAUUUAAAGCUCCACUGAGCAGAUUUCAGUUCGUGUUGAUUUUGGCGCCCCCCUGUGGACAAAGUGGACUUUUCUCUUUGAGGAUAUUGUCCUGUACCCGCUUUAAGUAGUAUUUUUUUUUAACCAAAAAUGUCCGUCCUGACCUUUAACGGUCAAAUGUGUUACUCGUGGAGAAUCAUUGCCAUACAAUGAAAAUAAAAGGGAUGCUUCGACAGACAAAUCUAAACUCUUUCAGACACCUACUGUACCCUGCAGCAGCAGUUUUAUGCAGUAAUAUAUAUAACUAUAUAGAAAUAAUCAGUAUUGUUGCUGAUGAUCUAGUUUGUUCUUGUAGGUCAUCAGUAUUAUUAGUCUGUUUUAUAACCAGUUUAAAACUCCUCACAGGAACUUUAAAAUAGUUUACAUUUCUCUAUCUGAUGUGAUGAAACAUAGUGUUGGCCAGUAUAUCACUGUGGCCUUUUUUUGAUGUGUUUUUAGAGGAAUGAUUUUUGUUAUCACAGCAUUCAGCACAAUAAUUUUUUAAGGUUUAGAAAAGGAGCGUUUUUUCUACUAGUUCAUCAUAAGUUCGAGUCUAUUCGAUGGAUUUGUUGACGACAAGAGAAAGGUGGAAUAUCAUCAGAAUUAUCAUUUAAAGCUCCUGUUGUUUGUUGAGGUCAAAGAGAGAUCUAUAUUCACUGCAGGGGAAUCUCUGAAACGGAAAUGGACUCAACGAACACAGUAGACAACAAAUCACAAGGCAAAGUGUAUAAAUAUUAUAGUGCCUUUGUGAGAGUAUACUUUCUAUCCAUGCUGUUUCAUUAAGCUCAGCUGGAAUCUAACAGUAUGUCAAUAAAGGCGUCAGAUAUCUGGA